GAAAGUAAGCAAGGGCAGACGGUGGAUGCCUUGGCUCUCGGAGGCGACGAAGGACGUGAUAAGCUGCGAAAAGCCCGGGGGAGGCGCAAAUAGCCCUUGAUCCCGGGAUAUCCGAAUGGGGCAACCCGGCAGGCUGAAGGCCUGUCAUCCCGUAAGGGAGGCGAACGUGGGGAACUGAAACAUCUAAGUACCCAUAGGAGGAGAAAAUAAACAAUGAUUCCGUAAGUAGUGGCGAGCGAACACGGAAGAGCCCAAACCCAUGUCGUCUAGGCGACACGGGGGUUGUAGGACCACGACGUGGCAAGAUAGAGUCAAGUGGAACGCCUUGGAAAAGGCGGUCAUAGAGGGUGAAAACCCCGUACACGACUGACGAUUGAAGCCUAGUGGCAUCCUGAGUAGCGCGGGGCACGAGAAAUCUUGCGUGAAUUAGCGGGGCCCAUCCCGUAAGGCUAAAUACUCCCGAGAGACCGAUAGCGAACCAGUACCGUGAGGGAAAGGUGAAAAGAACCCCGAGCAGGGGAGUGAAAUAGACCCUGAACCCGUCUGCCUACAAGCGGUCGGAGCGUCGUAAUGACGUGACGGCGUGCCUUUUGCAUAAUGAACCUACGAGUUACCUUCCCCGGCAAGGUUAAGUACCUAAGGUACGGAGCCGAAGCGAAAGCGAGUCUGAACAGGGCGCCAAGUCGGGGGGGGUAGACGCGAAACCGAGUGAUCUACCCUUGGCCAGGUUGAAGGUUGGGUAACACCAACUGGAGGACCGGAUGGGUAAGCGUUGAAAAGCUUUCCAAUGAGCUGAGGGUAGGGGUGAAAGGCUAAUCAAACUCGGAGAUAGCUCGUACUCCCCGAAAUGCAUUUAGGUGCAGCCUCUUUAUAGUAUAUCGUGAGGUAGAGCGACUGAUUGGAUGCGAGGGCUUCACCGCCUAUCAAGUCCAGAUAAACUCCGAAUGCGCGAUAUAUAUUUAAAGGGAGUGAGGGCGCGGGUGCUAAGGUCCGUGUCCGAGAGGAGAAGAAUCCAGACCACCGGCUAAGGCCCCCAAAUGAUCGUUAAGUUGAACUAACGAGGUCGGAUCGCAGAGACAGCUAGGAUGUUGGCUUGGAAGCAGCCAUUCAUUUAAAGAGUGCGUAACAGCUCACUAGUCGAGCGAUCUGGCGUGGAUAAUAAUCGGGCAUAAACGAUCUGCCGAAGCCGUGGAUGUCGCAAGACAUGGUAGGGGAGCAUUCCAUGCCGCGUCGAAGAUGAGGGAUGACCCUUGUUGGAGCGCAUGGAAAAGCAAAUGUAGGUAUGAGUAACGAUAAGGGGGGCGAGAAACCCCCCCGCCGAAAGACCAAGGUUUCCUGAUCAACGCUAAUCGGAUCAGGGUGAGUCGGGACCUAAGGCAAAGCCGAACGGCGCCGCCGAUGGAAGAAUGGGUUAAUAUUCCCAUACUGCCUCAUGGAGUGACGUGGAGACGGAGAAGUGACAGUCCUGCCGGCUGACGGAAUAGCCGGUUGAAGGGUGUAGAUAUUGAUUCCCGUAGGCAAAUCCGCGGGGAGAGUCGAACCUGAGAGUAUACGGAGCGCUUGCGCAACGUAAUAUGGACGUAACCAUGCUCCCGAGAAAAUCCGCUAAACUUAUCCAUGCGGCACCCGUACCGUAAACGGACACACGUGGUCGGGUUGAGAAUACUGAGGCGCUCGAGUGAUUCACGGUUAAGGAACUAGGCAAAUUGACCCUGUAACUUCGGGAUAAAGGGUCCUCGUCGUAAGGCGAGGCGCAGAGAAUAGGUCCAGGCAACUGUUUAACAAAAACACAUGGCUGUGCUAAAUGGAAACAUGAUGUAUACAGCCUGACACCUGCCCGGUGCCGGAAGGUUAAGAGGAGAUGUCAUCCGCGAGGAGAAGCGUUGAAUUGAAGCCCCGGUAAACGGCGGCCGUAACUAUAACGGUCCUAAGGUAGCGAAAUUCCUUGUCGGGUAAGUUCCGACCUGCACGAAUGGUGUAAUGAUCUGGACACUGUCUCAACCGUGAGCUCGGUGAAAUUGUAGUA
rnacentral:rRNA from 1 species